GCCUACGGGGCGCAGCAGUGGGGAAUAUUGCACAAUGGGGGAAACCCUGAUGCAGCGACGCCGCGUGAGUGAAGAAGUAUCUCGGUGCGUAAAGCUCUAUCAGCAGGGAAGAAAAAAAGUCUUUGGCUUUGGACGGUACCUGACUAAGAAGCCCCGGCUAACUACGUGCCAGCAGCCGCGGUAAUACGUAGGGGGCAAGCGUUAUCCGGAUUUACUGGGUGUAAAGGGAGCGUAGACGGCAGCGCAAGUCUGGAGUGAAGUGCCGGGGCUCAACCCCGGAACUGCUUUGGAAACUGUGCAGCUAG
rnacentral:rRNA from 1 species